rnacentral:lncRNA from 1 species
GGAUUGGCGACCUCCUAGCUCUGCUCCGGUGCCUCAGUUGGAGCGAGCCGAACAGACAGAUCAUCUAAUCACGGAAAACAAUUUAUCAAAACGCUGAAACAAUUACAAUAGAUCCUAGGUCUAGAUUCCUAGGACUGACUGUCUAAGAAUCUCGACUCAGGAGAAUUCUACCGAAAAUCCAGCAGAACCUUCCUUACAACACGAACAUUACCCCCCGUAAAAACGGGUCCAGGACCUGCCAGAAGAACACUUCAAAUACUUAACGAUUCAAACAAUAGGAGUCGGGUCCCCAACUUCACUAUUUCCCGACUCCGCCACACAGCACAAAAUACGAGGCAGGCAAACUGACUGACAAUUAUUUUUGACUCACAAAUAACAUCAAAUACUCAAUAUAAUCCAAUAGACACAAAUUUAAAAUCAAGGAUUUCUAAGAUCAACGGCCAAAGAAAAUUACCGAGACGCUCGGUCGACUCGCCUCCGGCCGCCGGAGUCCGAUUGACGAUCCGAACACACCAUCGGACUCACAACGACGCGCUGAUGACGAUCCCUGCUUCCGAUUUUCCGAUCUGACACCCGAUCAUCCGGAGAGAU